AUUGAACGCUGGCGGCAUGCCUUACACAUGCAAGUCGAACGGCAGCACGGGUGCUUGCACCUGGUGGCGAGUGGCGAACGGGUGAGUAAUACAUCGGAACGUACCUUAUCGUGGGGGAUAACGCAGCGAAAGCUGUGCUAAUACCGCAUACGCCCUGAGGGGGAAAGCGGGGGAUCGAAAGACCUCGCGCGAUUAGAGCGGCCGAUGCCUGAUUAGCUUGUUGGUGGGGUAAAGGCCCACCGAGGCGACGAUCAGUAGCUGGUCUGAGAGGACGAUCAGCCACACUGGGACUGAGACACGGCCCAGACUCCUACGGGAGGCAGCAGUGGGGAAUUUUGGACAAUGGGGGAAACCCUGAUCCAGCAAUGCCGCGUGAGUGAAGAAGGCCUUCGGGUUGUAAAGCUCUUUUGUCAGGGAAGAAACACCGGCUCUAACACAGUCCGGGAAUGACGGUACCUGAAGAAUAAGCACCGGCUAACUACGUGCCAGCCGCCGCAGUAA
rnacentral:rRNA from 1 species